UUGGGAGAUGUAUAGUCCUCUUAUGAGGCUAGUUAUCUUUGAAAAAACCAAAAACUUAAAGAAUUAAGAUAAUACUUCUUAAUCUAACAAAGAUAAUACCAACUACGUUGGCUAAAAUUCUAGAUAGAAUACUGAUUAUGACAAUUUUCUAUCUACUUGUCUUGACCAAAUUACGUGCCAGCAGUCGCGGUAAUACGUAAAAGACUAGUGUUAUCCAUCUUUAAUAGGUUUAAAGGGUACCUAGACGGCAUUAUUAACCUUAAAUACGGAAAUAAUUUUGCUAGAGUUUGAUAUGAGAAGGGGAGUAUUUACGGAGUAGAGAUGAAAUUCUUUGAUACCCUAAGGACUGACAACGGCGAAAGCGACCUUCUAUGUAAAAACUGACGUUGAGGGACGGAGGCUUGGAUAGCGAACAGGAUUAGAUACCCUAGUAGUCUUUGCAGAGAAUGAUGAAUGCCAUAGAUUAGAUUUUUUUAGUUUAUAAAUGAAAGUGUAAGCAUUCCACCUCAAGAGUAAUGUGGCAACGCAGGAACUGAAAUCAUUAGACCGUUUCUGAGAACAGUAGUGAAGUAUGUUAUUUAAUUCGAUAAUCCUCGAAAAACCUUACCACAACUUGAAUAUUAUCAUUACACUAUUUAGUUCAAAACGUUUUGCUUAUGCUAACAACCCUACCCCUCACGAGGGGGUAAAGCAAAAAGCAAGAAAAAAAAAACAAAAGUAGAAAAAGGUAAAUGUAUUUUUUUUUUUACCAUUUACACAGUAAAAAGUGGACAAUGAUAUAAAAUGUUUUAGACAUUUAUCAGGGUGAUAUUACAUACGUUGCACGGUUGUCUUCAGCUAAUGUCGUGAGAUUUUGGUUAGUUCCAUAAAAUUAGCGUAAACCCCGGCUUUAUUUUUUUAAGAUUACGAUAAAGUAGUCCAUCACUAUAUUGAAUAUAUGAUAA
rnacentral:rRNA from 1 species